rnacentral:lncRNA from 1 species
UUUUAUAGGAAUAUUUUGUUAUUUUCACCUCUCUCACACCAGAAAUCCCUUUUCCUCUUUGUUUCUGUCUCGCUCUCUCCGCCUCUCUCUCACUUUCUGCGUUUCUCGUAGCCUUGCAUCUCUCUCACCUCUCACUCGACGCCGCACAGAUCUUCCCACCUUACCUUCUCCGGCAGCAGCUGUAGCACGGUACGUCCCCCUUUUUCGUCGCUCCCUCCGCCUCGCCUCUCAUUUGUUAGGAAAUUAGACGCAACUAAUUCCGCCCGGGAUCUGGUGUGACGCAAUAUUUUGGAUAUCGACCGAUAUGAAACGAGAAAAAUAAAUGACACCGAUAUUUUUAACGUGGUUCGGCCAAACUGCCUACGUCCACG